rnacentral:rRNA from 1 species
GACGAGGCACUACGGUGCUGAAGCAACAAAUGCCCUGCUUCCAGGAAAAGCCUCUAAGCAUCAGGUAACACGAAAUCGUACCCCAAACCGACACAGGUGGUCAGGUAGAGAAUACCAAGGCGCUUGAGAGAACUCGGGUGAAGGAACUAGGCAAAAUGGUGCCGUAACUUCGGGAGAAGGCACGCUGACACGUAGGUGAAGUGAUUUACUCAUGGAGCUGAAGUCAGUCGAAGAUACCAGCUGGCUGCAACUGUUUAUUAAAAACACAGCACUGUGCAAACACGAAAGUGGACGUAUACGGUGUGACGCCUGCCCGGUGCCGGAAGGUUAAUUGAUGGGGUCAGCGUAAGCGAAGCUCCUGAUCGAAGCCCCGGUAAACGGCGGCCGUAACUAUAACGGUCCUAAGGUAGCGAAAUUCCUUGUCGGGUAAGUUCCGACCUGCACGAAUGGCGUAAUGAUGGCCAGGCUGUCUCCACCCGAGACUCAGUGAAAUUGAACUCGCUGUGAAGAUGCAGUGUACCCGCGGCAAGACGGAAAGACCCCGUGAACCUUUACUAUAGCUUGACACUGAACAUUGAGCCUUGAUGUGUAGGAUAGGUGGGAGGCUUUGAAGUGUGGACGCCAGUCUGCAUGGAGCCGACCUUGAAAUACCACCCUUUAAUGUUUGAUGUUCUAACGUGGACCCGUAAUCCGGGUUGCGGACAGUGUCUGGUGGGUAGUUUGACUGGGGCGGUCUCCUCCUAAAGAGUAACGGAGGAGCACGAAGGUUGGCUAAUCCUGGUCGGACAUCAGGAGGUUAGUGCAAUGGCAUAAGCCAGCUUGACUGCGAGCGUGACGGCGCGAGCAGGUGCGAAAGCAGGUCAUAGUGAUCCGGUGGUUCUGAAUGGAAGGGCCAUCGCUCAACGGAUAAAAGGUACUCCGGGGAUAACAGGCUGAUACCGCCCAAGAGUUCAUAUCGACGGCGGUGUUUGGCACCUCGAUGUCGGCUCAUCACAUCCUGGGGCUGAAGUAGGUCCCAAGGGUAUGGCUGUUCGCCAUUUAAAGUGGUACGCGAGCUGGGUUUAGAACGUCGUGAGACAGUUCGGUCCCUAUCUGCCGUGGGCGCUGGAGAACUGAGGGGGGCUGCUCCUAGUACGAGAGGACCGGAGUGGACGCAUCACUGGUGUUCGGGUUGUCAUGCCAAUGGCACUGCCCGGUAGCUAAAUGCGGAAGAGAUAAGUGCUGAAAGCAUCUAAGCACGAAACUUGCCCCGAGAUGAGUUCUC